rnacentral:lncRNA from 1 species
AACCGGGGGGCCCACCAGCUCCUCCUUCACACCCCCUCAGCCUGCAGCUCCGGGCGGCAGAGCCGGCCCCGGCCCCGGCCCCAGCCUCAGCCUCGGCCUCGGCCGCCUCAGCCUCAGCCUCAGCCGCUUCAGCUCCCGCCGCUUCCCGCCUUUUCCUCUGAGGCGCCGCGCGCCCUCUGCCCCUCAGCGCCGCCGUGGCCCCCGUCGCGGGCUGCCCGCCGCGCUGCCUGUCGGCGCCUGCCGGAGCCCAGCGGGGGACACCGGCCCUUGAGGGCUGAGCGCCCGCCGCUGGUUAGGAGAGAACCGGCGCUCGGUCGGGCAGCCCCGGCUCUGCCGAGGACCCCGCGGGGUGGGCCGAGGAGGAGGCGGGCAGUCCGGAGGGGCGGCUGGAGGCAGGUUAGUCUCGGGGAGGACGCCGCCGCUGUAGCCGCCACGCUGGCUUCCCCUCUCGUCCGAGUGCGCCCGCCCGACUUCUUCGGGCGUGAACGGGCGGGCGGUACCAUCCGCGUCACGGGAAAGGGGAGCCGGGCGAGCUCGGAGGGUCCCUCUCCAGAGAAUGGACCGGCCCACCUGCCCGUUUUAAACUGGCGGAAAGAGGCCGUACCAUUUCCUCGGCUGGGGGGUGUGGAGGUUAGUUGUAUCCUCGUGCCCUUUCCAAUAUGGCGAGGGAGGGAAAGGCAUCCGUCCUCGAAGGCGUUGUGGGGCCGGGGACCGGCCCCGGGGCUCCCCAGCGAGCAGGGAGGCACUCGCUGCCCCCGGCUCCUCAGGGGGCAACGGCAGGCCCGCGGGGGAAGCCGUGUUGGGCUCUCUGCGGGGCUGGGUGGGUGGCCCCGGAGCCCGCAGCCCCACUCCCCUCAGCGCGGCCCGACCCGGGCCCGGGCCGCUCUGCUGCCUUGUCCUGGGGCUCGUCAGUGGCUUCAGGGGCUCCUGCUUGGCUGCCUGGCCUUCGCUGGGGCCCUGUGGGGUGGUCCUGCCGUGGGGUGGCCCUACAGUGGGGUGUGGGGGAGAGGAGGAAGAGGAGCCGGGAGAGGCCAGGCCUGCGUGGGCAGCGCCGGGCACCUCUGCCGUGGAGAGCAGUCCCUCCGUGGCUCCAACGCUUCUGUGCCAUUACAAGCCUUCCUGUAA